rnacentral:snoRNA from 1 species
ACCCUCUCAUGAUCACACCUGGAGAGUUUCCAGUACUCUACCAGCCUUGGCUACAGGAGGGAGAGUCAAGCAGAGUCAUACCCAUUCCAUUCCUAGCUUGGGCAGUGGCUAGCAAGUGGAAGGCAGUCUUCUACAAGU